UUGAUCAAAGCGAGUUUAAUUAUCAAAGUAACUGCCUACGAAACAAUUCGCUUCGUAGUCUGGAGCUUCGAGAGUCAUGGAUGAUGCUCAGAAGAUGGCGCACUCAACUCUCAGUUGUCCAGUGCUCUCCAAUAGUGAAAAUGGUCGCGCUACUAAGUAUCUUUCCGUCACUAGCUUUUAAUGAGGACAGACAGCAACAUUCGAGUUACGCAUCACAUUAUCACACCCUCGUAGAACAUUCUUAGGUGUUGACACGAGCACCCAUUGACUGCAUGUGUCGGCCAUGCACUGACGUGGAGGAGGGCACCGUGCUGGCCCAGGAGAUUGCCAACUUCAUCCAGGAUUCACCAAUGGACAGCGUUCCCUUCCUCAAGUAGACCAUCAUCUCCACACACACAUAUAUAUAUAUAUAAUGAAAUGUGUGUUUAAUAAAUUUCUAUCUGUCA
rnacentral:misc_RNA from 1 species